rnacentral:rRNA from 1 species
CCGCCCGUCACACCCAUGGAAGCCAGCUGUACCGGAAGUCGGUGCGCCAACCCGCAAGGGAGGCAGCCGCCUAUGGUAUGACUGGUGACUGGGUG